GACAGAGGGUGCAAACGUUGUUCGGAGUUACUGGGCGUAAAGCGUGCGUAGGCGGUGUUCCAAGUCUGUUGUGAAAUCCCCCGGCUUAACCUGGGAACUGCGUCUGAUACUGGACGGCUUGAGUAUGGGAGAGGAACGUAGAAUUCCAGGUGUAGCGGUGAAAUGCGUAGAUAUCUGGAGGAAUACCGGUGGCGAAGGCGGCGUUCUGGACCAUUACUGACACUGAAUCGCGAAAGCUAGGGGAGCAAACGGG
rnacentral:rRNA from 1 species